AUGAUGGCGCUGAGCGAGAGGCAGCCGCAGUCGGAGAAGAAGGCCCCGCGGGCGAGGCCCAUGUCGGGGAAGGCCGUGUUCGUGCUCUGCGCCACCAGCUUCUUCGUGGGGCUGCUGCUCAGCGGCCGGAUGACGGUACUGACGCCGCCGGCGUCGGGCGGCCACGGCGGCUCCAGGAUCGCCCUAUUCUCCGACGACGACUGCGAGCACAGGCGUAAGCUGGAAGAAGAGAGCAACCCGAACGAUGUCAUGAACGAGGUGUCACGAACCCACCAAGCCAUUCGGUCUCUGGACAAGUCGGUGUCGUCGCUGGAGAUGGAGCUGGCGGUGGAGCGGGCCAAGAGGAACGGCGGCCUGGGCGCGGCGGUGCCGUCCAAGGGCCUCCCGAAGGUGUUCGUGGUGGUGGGCAUCAACACGGCCUUCAGCAGCAAGAAGCGGCGCGACUCGCUCCGCGACACCUGGGUGCCCCGGGGCGACAAGCUCCGGCAGCUGGAGAAGGAGAAGGGGGUGGUGGUGCGGUUCGUGAUCGGGCACAGCGCCACGCCCGGCGGCGCGCUGGACCGGGCCAUCGACGUGGAGGAGGCGGAGACCAGGGACUUCAUGCGGCUGGACCACGUGGAGGGCUACCACGAGCUCUCCUCCAAGACCAGGAUCUACUUCGCCGCCGCCGUCGCCACCUGGGACGCCGCCUUCUACGUCAAGGUCGACGACGACGUACACGUCAACCUAGGGAUGCUGACGAACAGGCUCGCCAGGUACAGGACGACGCCCAGGGUGUACGUGGGGUGCAUGAAGUCCGGCCCUGUGCUGUCGCAGAAGGGCGUCAAGUACCACGAGCCUGAGUCUUGGAAGUUCGGGGACGAGGGGAACAAGUACUUCCGCCACGCCACGGGGCAGAUCUACGCCAUCUCCAGGGACCUCGCCUCCUACAUCUCCAUCAACCAGCCGAUACUGCACCGGUUCGCGAACGAGGACGUGUCGCUGGGCGCGUGGCUCAUCGGGCUCGAGGUGGAGCACGUCGACGACCGGAGCCUCUGCUGCGCCACGCCCCCAGACUGCGAGUGGAAGAAGCAGGCCGGGAACGUGUGCGCGGCGUCCUUCGACUGGUCCUGCAGCGGCAUCUGCAAGUCCGUCGACAGGAUGAGGGCCAUCCACAGCGCCUGCGGCGAGGGCGACGGAGCCGUCUCCAACUUCGCCGCCGCCUGA
rnacentral:rRNA from 1 species